AUAAUUCAUUUUGAUCAGAAGUGUGACAACUUGCUGGUGAAUCUCAAUGAUCCAUCUCGUCCCAUAUGCAAGGUUGCUGAUUUUGGUUUGUCCAAGGUGAAACAAACAACAAUGGUCUCUGGAGGAAUGAGGGGAACCCUUCCAUGAUGGCUCCUGAACUGCUUGAAAUGAGCAGCAAUAAGGUAUCAACCAAGGUUGUUGACGAAGUGGUAGCACUGCUGCAUUCUGGUCUCAACACGACCUUCUCCGGCUUCCAUGAUAUAGCCGCCAGGACGGACUCACUUCUUUUUUACCAAGUCUUCCUUUGCUUAUGGAUCAUUUCUAUCCUUGGCAGUCUUAC